ACACAUGCAAGACGAGCGAAGCACUUUGCUUAUAUUCUUCGGAUGAAGAGGAUUGUGACUGAGCGGCGGACGGGUGAGUAACGCGUGGGUAACCUGCCUCAUACGGGGGGAUAACAGUUAGAAAUGACUGCUAAUACCGCAUAAGACCACAGCACCGCAUGGUGCGGGGGUAAAAACUCCGGUGGUAUGAGAUGGACCCGCGUCUGAUUAGCUAGUUGGUAAGGUAACGGCUUACCAAGGCGACGAUCAGUAGCCGACCUGAGAGGGUGACCGGCCACAUAGGGACUGAGACACGGCCCAAACUCCUACGGGAGGCAGCAGUGGGGAAUAUUGCACAAUGGGGGAAACCCUGAUGCAGCGACGCCGCGUGAGCGAAGAAGUAUUUCGGUAUGUAAAGCUCUAUCAGCAGGGAAGAAAAUGACGGUACCUGACUAAGAAGCACCGGCUAAAUACGUGCCAGCAGCCGCGGUAAUACGUAUGGUGCAAGCGUUAUCCGGAUUUACUGGGUGUAAAGGGAGCGUAGACGGAUGGGCAAGUCUGAUGUGAAAACCCGGGGCUCAACCCCGGGACUGCAUUGGAAACUGUUCAUCUAGAGUGCUGGAGAGGUAAGUGGAAUUCCUAGUGUAGCGGUGAAAUGCGUAGAUAUUAGGAGGAACACCAGUGGCGAAGGCGGCUUACUGGACAGUAACUGACGUUGAGGCUCGAAAGCGUGGGGAGCAAACAGGAUUAGAUACCCUGGUAGUCCACGCCGUAAACGAGGAAUUAUUAGGGGUCGGGUGGCAAAGCCAUUCGGUCCCCCAGCAACGCCAUAAAGUAGUUCACCUGGGGGAGUACGUUCGCAAGAAUGAAACUCAAAGGAAUGGACGGGGACCCGCACAAGCGGUGGAGCAUGUGGUUUAAUUCGAAGCAACGCGAAGAACCUUACCUGCUCUUGACAUCCCGCUGACCGGACGGUAAUGCGUCCUUCCCUUCGGGGCAGCGGAGACAGGUGGUGCAUGGUUGUCGUCAGCUCGUGUCGUGAGAUGUUGGGUUAAGUCCCGCAACAAGCGCAACCCCUAUCUUUAGUAGCCAGCGGCCAGCCGGGCACUCUAGAGAGACUGCCGGGGAUAACCCGGAGGAAGGUGGGGAUGACGUCAAAUCAUCAUGCCCCUUAUGAGCAGGGCUACACACGUGCUACAAUGGCGUAAACAAAGGGAAGCGAGACCGCGAGGUGGAGCAAAUCCCAAAAAUAACGUCUCAGUUCGGAUUGUAGUCUGCAACUCGACUACAUGAAGCUGGAAUCGCUAGUAAUCGCGAAUCAGAAUGUCGCGGUGAAUACGUUCCCGGGUCUUGCACU
rnacentral:rRNA from 1 species